rnacentral:rRNA from 1 species
AGAUUGAACGCUGGCGGCAGGCCUAACACAUGCAAGUCGAGCGGCAGCACGGGUACUUGUACCUGGUGGCGAGCGGCGGACGGGUGAGUAAUGCCUAGGAAUCUGCCUGGUAGUGGGGGAUAACGCUCGGAAACGGACACUAAUACCGCAUACGUCCUACGGGAGAAAGCAGGGGACCUUCGGGCCUUGCGCUAUCAGAUGAGCCUAGGUCGGAUUAGCUAGUUGGUGAGGUAAUGGCUCACCAAGGCGACGAUCCGUAACUGGUCUGAGAGGAUGAUCAGUCACACUGGAACUGAGACACGGUCCAGACUCCGUAGGGAGCAGCAGGUGGGGAAUA